GGCACCAGUGUGUUGGCGGCGCGUAGGGCCCGGCGAGGCGGCGACGCGUUGGGGGCAGCAGGUCGCGGUGGCGUGGAUGGCACAGCAGCUUCAGGCCAAACUGCUGCAGUGAGGAGGUGUAGUGAGCGGCGAGGAAGGAGAACCACUACCCUGGAGUUCAUCAAGCAAAUCUGGGGUGAUGAAGGCAGCUGGAAGGCCAGAGGCUACCAGAAUGUGUGAGAUGCCAGGCCAGCCCAUCUUCUUCCGGCAGGAUAACAAAAGUAACCUGCCACUCACCCCGUACGUCUAUCGGGCGGGAACACGAGGUCGCUUUGUGCAGCAGCUACGUCUCAUAUGGAAUCUACCAUGGGAUUUUAUUCUUGCACAUCCUUCCAUAACCUACGGUACCGGGACACCACAUGUGACCAGAUCGCCCCUGCCCUCUUUAUGGUGCUAAGCUUCAAGUACAGGCCAGUAAUUUAGUUCAGUGAUG